rnacentral:hammerhead_ribozyme from 1 species
AUCCAGCUGACGAGUCACAAAUAGAACAAAACGCUCGUCUAAACUGGAU